UACGGAGGGAGCUAGCGUUGUUCGGAAUUACUGGGCGUAAAGCGCACGUAGGCGGCUUUGUAAGUUAGAGGUGAAAGCCCGGAGCUCAACUCCGGAAUUGCCUUUAAGACUGCAUCGCUUGAAUCCAGGAGAGGUGAGUGGAAUUCCGAGUGUAGAGGUGAAAUGCGUAGAGAUCGGGAGGAACACCAGAGGCGAAGGCGGCGACCUGGACAGGUACUGACACUCAACUACGAAAGCGUGGGGAGCAAACAGG
rnacentral:rRNA from 1 species